AAGGCAGGGGCCUGGGCCAGCAGGGAGAGAGCCCAGCUGGCAGUGGCCCUGCUGAGGAAACACAAAGACAAAACACCCUCAGGCUGUGUCUCAAAGAUGGGCCAUCAAACAGGAGGGGCUGAGAAGAGCGGGCCAAUGGAAGCAGUCCAAGAUAGAGAACCCAGAGUGGAACAAGCUGACCUACAUGUGGCCGUCUCUGCCCAGGGGAGAGCUCAACCAGGACCUGAGCUGGCCACUGGAGGGUGCCCUAGUCCCCUGUGCGCCACCACUGACUGACUCCAACAGGAAAUGGCACUGUUUCAGACCUGCACCACUGAGAUUGAGGGUACUGAGAAACAGACGGGGUAGAAAAGGCCAAGGCCAUAACUGUUACAGUACCCAACCUCAUACUGAACACUUGUAGGAAGCCUCUCGCCAGCACAGCACAGAGACUCAAAGCAGAAAGAGGCGCCAGCAGGGAGAGGGAAAACAUUAACACGGCAGAAAUCCACAGCCUUGAGUUUCAGCAGUUCCUUGAGAGGUGCUCUUUCUUCUCAGAGUCUCUUCAUCUGCCCCACGCUGCUCUCAGGCUCUUCCUCACAGACGGCAGGGAGAGAACUCUACUCCUAGAUCUGAUUCCAGAUCAGCUGGUGUAUGUGUCCUGUGGGCAGCCGUGGGUUAACCCUCAUCUCAGCCAUGGUAGAGUGUCCAAACAGCGCCACCUUCUCCACCUGGAGCAGGACGUGUCCCAGAUCCGCCACUACUGCACCCUCUGCCACCAGCAUGAUAUGGUACUGGAGGUAAGAGGUGAGAUACAGGAGGGCUCUCUGCUCACUGUGCCCCCCUGUGGUGUUGUCUAUGAAGAGCAGAGCCAAAGAGUCAACGCCUCAGGAGGAGAGUGCGGAUCAUGAUCGUGAUCACCUCAACAGUCUCAAGUUGCAGCAGCGCGGUAGGAGCAUCACACAGGCCCACAGACAGCAGUUCAAGAUCAGUAAGGGCCAGAUGGACUCUUCCUCUGUUGGCCAACCCUGAGCUGGUAUUGUCUGUUUCCAUGACUACAAUCCCCCCAGGAGACUCCUGCUCCUCUCCUCACAGGCUGCUCUGUAGUCCUACAGAAAUACAAGCCCUAUAGUUAUGGAGCAGCCAACCAGAAGUGGGGCUGGUUUGCAGAUCUUACGGUUCUGAGUGCAUUCUACACCUCAUCUCUGGACCAGGAAGUGACUGCAGCCAAUUAGGCCUCAGUGUGUACCGCCUGUGUGUCCCCAGAACCACUGCACCAGCAGGUCGGGGGUGAGUGGGAGCAGAGUGAAGGUGUGUCCUAGCUGUUCCACUGGGCUGAGAGGGAGAGGAGUUCUCCAGAAGCUUCCUCCAGGAUCCUCCUCCCUCUGCUGUAUGGCCCAGUCACAACCACUAGCUCAGACCAACUGGACACUUCAGGAUCCUAAAGGUCCACCAGACGGAGCUCAGUGAGUCUGCGGCAGACGUCACUCUGCAGCGUCUAGACGAGUGUCUGGGAGUCACUGAGGACGGAGGCUGCAGUGCUGCAGGAGCAGACGCCGUCCCCAGAGGUGUGCAGCGCAGCCCGAACCAAGCCGAGCGUGAAGCUCCUGGCCCACAGGAAUGGGGAGAGGGGGCCUCGAGGAGGGCCAGCUGAUCACGGCGGUAACAAUGCCUCUGGUUCAGAGACAGUGUUCCAUGUGAGUGCUGAGGACAUGAGCUCUGUAGAUGAGGGUCUGCUGGCGCUAAUAGUGAGGUCCCCCAUCCAUGUCUGGGUGUCCUGUGGAAAGCCCUACCUCCCUUCAGAUGGUGAGAUGCACACACACACACACAAUGGUGCUUGCAUUUGCUAAGGGAAUUUGAUAUUAUGAAAUUGGAUGUAAAUAAAUGUAGAGUCAUUUCCUUGCUCCUUUCUCUUACUACUACAACACAUUAGUCCAUCCUGUUUAUUCUUGCUCAGUUAUUUUCUUGCCUGUGGGGGAAUCUUGGCAGCAUUGCCCUGGGGGGGAGGCCCAACCCAGACGAGACGCUUCUUCAUUUAAUAACACAUUUCAUGCAUGGCCUGUAAUGGCGAGAUGCUAAUGAGACGUGUGUUUUGCUGCCUGGAUGAUGAUUUUGCCGAUAAUGUUCUCUUUGCUUAAGCCUUGUACGAACUCGGGGCAACAAUUAGGGGGUUUGUAAAGCACUCCACAUUUCUAUACACAUCAUCACGGCGUGUGCGUUAUGUUGCCUCAGUUGUCAGGAGAAGAGGGAAGCUGCAGAGGGCUCUGUGGCUCCAGAAGGAGAGAGAGUACUGACUGAUGUUGAGAUCAAGAGACACAAGGUGAGGCACCCGAAAGGUUUGCUCUGCUUUCUAUCCAUCAUGGCUGCUGUGGCUUCAUGAAAUACAGGGCGAUAAUGCAUCCCAGUGAACGUAUUUCAAUUCUGUGACAUUUGAAAAUCUAGUGUCGUGUGGCUAGCCUGAUCUACCAUCCCUGACCUAACCGUUGCGAAUCCAUGUGGCGAAACCGAAUGUAAGCUGGCGAGAGCAGGAUGGUGGAACCCGGCCAUCCCGUGUCCUCAUCAUGUACUAAGGUGGAAUAAACUAGAUUUGCUCAUUCAAUGACAUUGCAGCUCAGUUAGUGAAGGCAGUGUUCCUCCUUGUACGCACAGGUACAAUCUUGGGUGUAGAAUGGCCCCUAACAGUGUCCCCUCUCUACCCCUGCGUUCACCCAGCCCGCCGGCUCUCCAGACCGGGCCAAGCCUCCCUGGUACCCACCCAGAGUCCUGCCAGGCCUGUAGUGGAUGAGCAAAGCUGGCUACAGCCCAGCCAUGAGGAACUGACUCUGGACCAGGAGCUGCACAACACUGAGACUCGACUUGGUGAGAUGGAGGCCCUUCCAGAGAAAGGCCACAGGCCACUUCCACAGAAGACCUCCCAGGAACUGUACCAUCAGCCUGAUGUCAGAAUAGUUAAGGUGUACCACAAAUGGAGACAGGCAUGUAUCUGUCCACGCCCGGGGGCAAAGCAUCGAAGAGUACUGCGAGGCUGGCCCUGUCCUGGUCCGCCUCCAGGCUAUACGCUGCAGACGGCAGGCUUCUGAGCUCCUGGGUGGACAUCCACAGGGACAUGCUGCUGUGUGUGUCAACAGGACAGCCCUAAAGGUCAGCAGGCCCUGGUUCACCUCUAACCUCUGACCCCUCCUACCGACUGUCACACAGAGAGUAGGGAUUGUGGGGACAAGAUUGAGAUGAGGGCUACCUUCGCUCGAAUGAUGAGAUCUCUAGACUCUGGUAAUGCCACAACAGACAGGGGACCAAAGGAGCACCUGACUACCACAAUUCCAUGUGGCUGCCAUUCUCUCCAUUGGACUGCAGAAGCAUAGAACUGUUACAAAACAACUGUACCAUGCCAGAUCAAGAUCGGUGUUAUCUACUGUUGUUGGACUGUCGCUAUGUUCAAGCAAUUCCCAAUGGGACAGUAACUACCAGGAAGUGUGUGAUGUUAUAUAUUCACCACUAGUGGGAAGCAGUGGUAUAAGUGAGUCAUAAAAGUCAUAAAAGAAACGUCCCUUUGUCAGGACUCUGUCUUUCAAAGAUAAUUAGUAAAAAUCCAAAUAACGCCACAGAUCUUCAUUGUAAAGGGUUUAAACACUGUUUCCCAUGCUUGUUCAAUGAACCAUAAACAAUUAAUGAACAUGCACCUGUGGAGCGGUCGCUAAGACACUAACAGCUUACAGAUGGUAGGCAAUUAAGGUCACAGUUAUGAAAACUUAGGACACUAAAGAGGCCUUUUUACUGACUCUGAAAAACACCAAAAGAAAGAUGCCCAGGGUGAACGUGCCUUAGGCAUGCUGCAAGGAGGCAUGAGGACUGCAGAUGUGGCCAGGGCAAUAAAUUGCAAUGUCCGUACUGUGAGACGCCUAAGACGUUGUUACACGUGGUCCUCACUGUGGCAGACCACGUGUAACAACACCUGCACAGGAUCGGUACAUCCGAACAUCACACCUGCGGGACAGGCACAGGAUGGCAACAACAACUGCCCGAGUUACACCAGGAACGCACAAUCCCUCCAUCAGUCCGCAAUAGGCUGAGAGAAGCUGGACUAAGAGCUUGUAGGCCUGUUGUAAGGCAGGUCCUCACCAUGAUGAUACUAUUGAAUUCGCACCAUAAUAAACACU